AAAUGAAUAGACGGGGGCUCACACAAGCGGUGGAGCAUGUUGCUUAAUUCGAGGCAACGCGAAGAACCUUACCUGGGCUUGACAUGCACGGAUUAACCUUUCGAAAGAUUGGCCACGCCUUCGGGUGGAACGUGCACAGGUGUUGCAUGGCUGUCGUCAGCUCGUGCUGUGAAGUGUCGGGUUAAGUCCCUUAACGAGCGCAACCCCUGUCGCUAGUUGCCAGCGCGUCAUGGCGGGGACUCUAGCGAGACUGCCGGUGUCAAACCGGAGGAAGGUGGGGAUGACGUCAAGUCCUCAUGGCCCUUACGUCCAGGGAUGCAAACGUGCUACAAUGGCAUGGACAAAGCGAAGCGAGGCCGCGAGGCGGAGCAAAUCGCAAAAACCAUGCCCCAGUUCGGAUUGCAGGCUGCAACUCGCCUGCAUGAAGCCGGAAUCGCUAGUAAUCGGAGAUCAGCUACGCUCCGGUGAAUACGUUCCUGAGCCUUGUACACACCGCCCGU
rnacentral:rRNA from 1 species